rnacentral:rRNA from 1 species
AUUGAACGCUAGCGGGAUGCCUUACACAUGCAAGUCGAACGGAGUGGCGAACGGGUGAGUAAUGUAUCGGAACCUGCCCAGUAGUGGGGGAUAACGUCGCGAAAGCGGAGCUAAUACCGCAUACUAUUGGAGCGGCCGAUUUCGGAUUAGCUAGUUGGUGGGGUAACGGCCUACCAAGGCGACGAUCCGUAGCUGGUUUGAGAGGACGACCAGUCACACUGGGAAUGAGACACGGCCCAGACUCCGACGGGAGGCAGCAGUGGGGAAUUUUGGACAAUGGGGGAAACCCUGAUCCAGCCAUCCCGCGUGUGUGAUGAAGGCCUUCGGGUUGUAAAGCACUUUUGGCAGGAAAGCGGUACCUGCAGAAUAAGCACCGGCUAACUACGUGCCAGCAGCCGCGGUAAUUC